UACGUAGGGCGCAAGCGUUAUCCGGAAUUAUUGGGCGUAAAGAGCUCGUAGGCGGUUUGUCGCGUCUGCCGUGAAAAGUCCGGGGGCUCAACUCCGGAUCUGCGGUGGGUACGGGCAGACUAGAGUGAUGUAGGGGGAGACUGGAAUUCCUGGUGUAGCAGUGAAAUGCGCAGAUAUCAGGAGGAACACCGGUGGCGAAGGCGGAUCUCUGGGCCAUUACUGACGCUGAGGAGCGAAAAGCGUGGGGGAGCGAACAGG
rnacentral:rRNA from 1 species